rnacentral:misc_RNA from 1 species
CCGAGUUAUACAACUCAUCAACCCUGUGAACAUACCUAUAACGUUGCCUCAGGCGGGAACAGACGGCCCCGUAACACGGGCCGCCCCCGCCAGAGGACCCCCUAACUCUGUUUCUAUAAUGUUUCUUCUGAGUAAACAAGCAAAUAAAUUA